UACGUAGGGGGCAAGCGUUAUCCGGAUUUACUGGGUGUAAAGGGUGCGUAGGUGGUAUGGCAAGUCAGAAGUGAAAACCCGGGGCUCAACCCCGCGGAUUGCUUUUGAAACUGUCAGACUGGAGUACCGGAGAGGUAAGCGGAAUUCCUAGUGUAGCGGUGAAAUGCGUAGAUAUUAGGAGGAACACCAGUGGCGAAGGCGGCUUACUGGACGGUAACUGACACUGAGGCACGAAAGCGUGGGGAGCAAACAGG
rnacentral:rRNA from 1 species